rnacentral:rRNA from 1 species
UACGUAGGUGGCGAGCGUUGUCCGGAUUUACUGGGCGUAAAGGGAGCGUAGGCGGACUUUUAAGUGAGAUGUGAAAUACCCGGGCUCAACUUGGGUGCUGCAUUUCAAACUGGAAGUCUAGAGUGCAGGAGAGGAGAAUGGAAUUCCUAGUGUAGCGGUGAAAUGCGUAGAGAUUAGGAAGAACACCAGUGGCGAAGGCGAUUCUCUGGACUGUAACUGACGCUGAGGCGCGAAAGCUAGGGGAGCAAACAGG